UUGAAUUUUACACCACUAUGAUUAUUUUUGAGGUAUUUUUGGACAUGGAUAAAACAAAGUACGAAUCCUUAAUCCUUAAUCAUUGUCAUUUUGUUUCACUGGAUUCGUUUCUUUAAAAAUAUUUUUCAUCAUCCUCAGUUUUAAAUGAUGAUAUUAUUGAAUAUCUUUGGCCUGUAGUGCAAAGAUGAAUGAUUUCUGAUGAAUAUCUUUGGCCCGUAGUACAAAGAUGAACAGGUGUUUAGAUGAACAUGACCAACUGAUGAAUAUCUUUGGCCUGUAGUGCAAAGAUGAAUAUUUGAUUUCAGACAUAUAUUGAUUGAUGUUACAGGG
rnacentral:lncRNA from 1 species